UAAAGUGGGAGUUGAAAGGAUGUGAUGUCUCAGAAGAGCAAAAUAAGGUGCUUGGCCUGCUGAAUGCUUUGAACAGAAGACUGAGAAGGUCUCUCUUCACUCCUACUUCCUCUCUCCCUCUAUGCAUGUUGUAGAAAGCAGAGUUCUUUCAGCCUAGGCUUAUCAUUGAAACUAGACUAAGUUUCACCUUCUCUUCUAGGUUUGCUCCACUGUCCCUGAACACAAGUCACGAGAGCUUCCAUUUACUGGGUUUUGGUCCAUACCUGGCAGAAGGGUGCUGCAGAGAGAAGCCAUGAAGAGUCUGAACAGACCUCUCUACUCAGAGUCUCAAUCAGGGCUCUUUGAUCUGUAUUACCAGUAAUUCUGCUGGGGAGUCAAGACAGAAAGACCUGCUGAAAAUGAUCACAAAAGAGACUGAAGCUUUCUCAAAAGCUUAGAAACAAGAACAGCCUGAGUGGAUGCAGGCAGAGAUCUCCAGACCUGUCAGCAGACUGGUGCCUGUGUAAGGUCCGCUUGCAGCUGCACCACAAAAUGAGAGAAGGAGUGAUGGUGGAGCAGUUUUUUCAAUAAAACCAACUGUGUUCACAUUAUGGU